rnacentral:rRNA from 1 species
UACGAAGGGGGCUAGCGUUGCUCGGAAUCACUGGGCGUAAAGCGCACGUAGGCGGAUUUCUAAGUCGGAGGUGAAAGCCCAGGGCUCAACCCUGGAAUUGCCUUCGAUACUGGAAGUCUCGAGUUCGGAAGAGGUUGGUGGAACUGCGAGUGUAGAGGUGAAAUUCGUAGAUAUUCGCAAGAACACCAGUGGCGAAGGCGGCCAACUGGUCCGAUACUGACGCUGAGGUGCGAAAGCGUGGGGAGCAAACAGG